AUUUCUGUGGCUUAGUUGGUUAAAGCACCGUACUAGCGAUAUGGAGUCGCGGGGUAGAAUCCCACCAAAAUA
rfam:Aedes albopictus isolate Foshan contig102097, whole genome shotgun sequence.